rnacentral:rRNA from 1 species
GACGAACGCUGGCGGCGUGCUUAACACAUGCAAGUCGAGCGAAAAUUUCCUGGUUCUUGCACUAGCUAAACUUAGCGGCGCAUGGGUGACUAACACGUAACCUACCCUUCCCAUAGACAUGGAUAAAUAUUAGAAACGAUACUUACUGCUGGCUAAUCGUGUUUCUUGCAUGAGGGAGGUUUAAUAGUUCGUUUUGCUAAGAACUUGAGAUGUCUUUGCUUGUCAUUUGCUAGUUGGUGGGGUAAAGGCCUACCAAGGCGCCGAUGCAUAGCCGACCUGAGAGAGUGAUCGGCCACACUGGGACUGAGACACGGCCCAGACUCCUACGGGAGGCAGCAGUAGGGAAUCUUCCGCAAUGGGCGAAAGCCUGACGGAGCAACGCCGCGUGAGUGAAGAAGGAGUUCGGUUCGUAAAGCUCUGUUGUUAGGGAAGAAUGGAUAUGUAGUAACUAUACAUGUAAGAGACGGUACCUAACCAGAAAGCCACGGCUAACUACGUG